UUCUACUUGUCGGAGUGCCGUUGUGCUGAGACCGUUUAUUCGGGAUCCGUUGAACCUGAUCAGAUUAAUAUCUGCGAAGGGAACAAGAGAGGAAAAUGA
rnacentral:ncRNA from 2 species